rnacentral:rRNA from 1 species
UACGGAGGGUGCAAGCGUUAUCCGGAUUCACUGGGUUUAAAGGGAGCGUAGGUGGGCAGGUAAGUCAGUGGUGAAAUCUCCGGGCUUAACCCGGAAACUGCCAUUGAUACUAUCUGCCUUGAAUAUCUUGGAGGUGAGCGGAAUAUGUCAUGUAGCGGUGAAAUGCUUAGAUAUGACAUAGAACACCAAUUGCGAAGGCAGCUCACUACGGGAUUAUUGACACUGAGGCUCGAAAGCGUGGGGAUCAAACAGG